CAGCAGUCGCCACGGUAAUACGUAGGUCCCGAGCGUUGUCCGGAUUUAUUGGGCGUAAAGCGAGCGCAGGCGGUUAGAUAAGUCUGAAGUUAAAGGCCGUGGCUUAACCAUAGUACGCUUUGGAAACUGUUUAACUUGAGUGCAAGAGGGGAGAGUGGAAUUCCAUGUGUAGCGGUGAAAUGCGUAGAUAUAUGGAGGAGCACCGGUGGCGAAAGCGGCUCUCUGGCUUGUAACUGACGCUGAGGCUCGAAAGCGUGGGGAGCAAACAGGAUUAGAUACCCCGGUAGUCCCUGUCUCUUAUACA
rnacentral:rRNA from 1 species